rnacentral:piRNA from 1 species
CGGCGACGAGUGAGUGAUGGAGAUG